rnacentral:lncRNA from 1 species
CCCCGCGUGUGCCGGGGCGGCCUUUUUGCCUUCCUGCCGCUCUCUUGGGCUCGGAGUCGAGGGUGGGCCCGGUUCUGACCGUCCUCGGAGCCGUCUGACCUUCUCUAGCGGACCUCGGUCCCCUCGAGAGGGGGGGAGGGUGUGGUGCCGUGCCGCUUUGCUUCCGGGGUUUCCCCAGCCCCCGGCCCCGCGGGGGGGGGGGGGCCCGCCGGGCGGUUUUCCGCGACGGCCGCGGGAGAGUCGCGGCGGCGUGUGUGUGCGCCCGCGACACCCGCGGCCGGUUCCUUGACGAGCGGGGGUCGGGGGGUGGUCGCCACCUCGCGCGCCUCCGCUUCCCCCUGCCCUGCGCCCACGUGAGGGUGCGGGAGCCGCCCGGAGGGAAACCAGGCUCUAACGCGAGCGAGGGAGAGCCGCGGCUUGGGAGGGGCUCGGCGAGCGGCAGCCGGCCCCCCUGCAACCCUGCCUUAGCCCCUCUCCGGAGGAGUCCCGCCGGGAGGCGAGAGUCCGCCGGCUCACCCCGCCCACAC